rnacentral:rRNA from 1 species
UACAGAGGUCCCAAGCGUUGUUCGGAUUCACUGGGCGUAAAGGGUGCGUAGGCGGCCGGGUAAGUCUGAUGUGAAAUCUUGCGGCUCAACCGCGAAACUGCAUUGGAUACUAUUCGGCUUGAGGGUUGGAGGGGGGACUGGAAUUCUCGGUGUAGCAGUGAAAUGCGUAGAUAUCGAGCGGAACACCAGUGGCGAAGGCGAGUCUCUGGACAUUUCCUGACGCUGAGGCACGAAAGCCAGGGGAGCACACGGG